GACGAACGCUGGCGGCGUGCUUAACACAUGCAAGUCGAACGGAAAGGCCCUGCUUUUGUGGGGUGCUCGAGUGGCGAACGGGUGAGUAACACGUGAGUAACCUGCCCUUGACUUUGGGAUAACUUCAGGAAACUGGGGCUAAUACUGGAUAGGAGCUCCUGCUGCAUGGUGGGGGUUGGAAAGUUUCGGCGGUUGGGGAUGGACUCGCGGCUUAUCAGCUUGUUGGUGGGGUAGUGGCUUACCAAGGCUUUGACGGGUAGCCGGCCUGAGAGGGUGACCGGCCACAUUGGGACUGAGAUACGGCCCAGACUCCUACGGGAGGCAGCAGUGGGGAAUAUUGCACAAUGGGCGGAAGCCUGAUGCAGCAACGCCGCGUGCGGGAUGACGGCCUUCGGGUUGUAAACCGCUUUCGCCUGUGACGAAGCGUGAGUGACGGUAAUGGGGAAAGAAGCACCGGCUAACUACGU
rnacentral:rRNA from 1 species